UUAAGCGACUAAGCGUACACGGUGGAUGCCCUGGCAGUCAGAGGCGAUGAAGGACGUGCUAAUCUGCGAUAAGCGUCGGUAAGGUGAUAUGAACCGUUAUAACCGGCGAUUUCCGAAUGGGGAAACCCAGUGUGUUUCGACACACUAUCAUUAACUGAAUCCAUAGGUUAAUGAGGCGAACCGGGGGAACUGAAACAUCUAAGUACCCCGAGGAAAAGAAAUCAACCGAGAUUCCCCCAGUAGCGGCGAGCGAACGGGGAGGAGCCCAGAGCCUGAAUCAGUGUGUGUGUUAGUGGAAGCGUCUGGAAAGGCGCGCGAUACAGGGUGACAGCCCCGUACACAAAAAUGCACAUACUGUGAGCUCGAUGAGUAGGGCGGGACACGUGGUAUCCUGUCUGAAUAUGGGGGGACCAUCCUCCAAGGCUAAAUACUCCUGACUGACCGAUAGUGAACCAGUACCGUGAGGGAAAGGCGAAAAGAACCCCGGCGAGGGGAGUGAAAAAGAACCUGAAACCGUGUACGUACAAGCAGUGGGAGCACGCUUAGGCGUGUGACUGCGUACCUUUUGUAUAAUGGGUCAGCGACUUAUAUUCUGUAGCAAGGUUAACCGAAUAGGGGAGCCGAAGGGAAACCGAGUCUUAACUGGGCGUUAAGUUGCAGGGUAUAGACCCGAAACCCGGUGAUCUAGCCAUGGGCAGGUUGAAGGUUGGGUAACACUAACUGGAGGACCGAACCGACUAAUGUUGAAAAAUUAGCGGAUGACUUGUGGCUGGGGGUGAAAGGCCAAUCAAACCGGGAGAUAGCUGGUUCUCCCCGAAAGCUAUUUAGGUAGCGCCUCGUGAAUUCAUCUCCGGGGGUAGAGCACUGUUUCGGCAAGGGGGUCAUCCCGACUUACCAACCCGAUGCAAACUGCGAAUACCGGAGAAUGUUAUCACGGGAGACACACGGCGGGUGCUAACGUCCGUCGUGAAGAGGGAAACAACCCAGACCGCCAGCUAAGGUCCCAAAGUCAUGGUUAAGUGGGAAACGAUGUGGGAAGGCCCAGACAGCCAGGAUGUUGGCUUAGAAGCAGCCAUCAUUUAAAGAAAGCGUAAUAGCUCACUGGUCGAGUCGGCCUGCGCGGAAGAUGUAACGGGGCUAAACCAUGCACCGAAGCUGCGGCAGCGACGCUUAUGCGUUGUUGGGUAGGGGAGCGUUCUGUAAGCCUGUGAAGGUGUGCUGUGAGGCAUGCUGGAGGUAUCAGAAGUGCGAAUGCUGACAUAAGUAACGAUAAAGCGGGUGAAAAGCCCGCUCGCCGGAAGACCAAGGGUUCCUGUCCAACGUUAAUCGGGGCAGGGUGAGUCGACCCCUAAGGCGAGGCCGAAAGGCGUAGUCGAUGGGAAACAGGUUAAUAUUCCUGUACUUGGUGUUACUGCGAAGGGGGGACGGAGAAGGCUAUGUUGGCCGGGCGACGGUUGUCCCGGUUUAAGCGUGUAGGCUGGUUUUCCAGGCAAAUCCGGAAAAUCAAGGCUGAGGCGUGAUGACGAGGCACUACGGUGCUGAAGCAACAAAUGCCCUGCUUCCAGGAAAAGCCUCUAAGCAUCAGGUAACAUCAAAUCGUACCCCAAACCGACACAGGUGGUCAGGUAGAGAAUACCAAGGCGCUUGAGAGAACUCGGGUGAAGGAACUAGGCAAAAUGGUGCCGUAACUUCGGGAGAAGGCACGCUGAUAUGUAGGUGAAGUCCCUUGCGGAUGGAGCUGAAAUCAGUCGAAGAUACCAGCUGGCUGCAACUGUUUAUUAAAAACACAGCACUGUGCAAACACGAAAGUGGACGUAUACGGUGUGACGCCUGCCCGGUGCCGGAAGGUUAAUUGAUGGGGUCAGCGCAAGCGAAGCUCUUGAUCGAAGCCCCGGUAAACGGCGGCCGUAACUAUAACGGUCCUAAGGUAGCGAAAUUCCUUGUCGGGUAAGUUCCGACCUGCACGAAUGGCGUAAUGAUGGCCAGGCUGUCUCCACCCGAGACUCAGUGAAAUUGAACUCGCUGUGAAGAUGCAGUGUACCCGCGGCAAGACGGAAAGACCCCGUGAACCUUUACUAUAGCUUGACACUGAACAUUGAGCCUUGAUGUGUAGGAUAGGUGGGAGGCUUUGAAGUGUGGACGCCAGUCUGCAUGGAGCCGACCUUGAAAUACCACCCUUUAAUGUUUGAUGUUCUAACGU
rnacentral:rRNA from 1 species